rnacentral:rRNA from 1 species
UGGCAUGCCGGCAGGCUUACACAUGCAAGUCGAGGGGUAUUGGUUUUCGGACCAAGAGACCGGCGCACGGGUGCGUAACGCGUAUGCAAUCUACCUUUUGCAGAGGGAUAGCCCAGAGAAAUUUGGAUUAAUACCUCAUAGUAUAGCAGUUUCGCAUGAGACCACUAUUAAAGUCACAACGGCAAAAGAUGAGCAUGCGUCCCAUUAGCUAGUUGGUAAGGUAACGGCUUACCAAGGCAACGAUGGGUAGGGGUCCUGAGAGGGAGAUCCCCCACACUGGUACUGAGACACGGACCAGACUCCUACGGGAGGCAGCAGUGAGGAAUAUUGGACAAUGGGCGCAAGCCUGAUCCAGCCAUGCCGCGUGCAGGAUGACGGUCCUAUGGAUUGUAAACUGCUUUUGUACAGGAAGAAACACCUCUACGUGUAGAGAUUUGACGGUACUGUAAGAAUAAGGAUCGGCUAACUCCGUGCCAGCAGCCGCGGUAAUACGGAGGAUCCAAGCGUUAUCCGGAAUCAUUGGGUUUAAAGGGUCCGUAGGCGGUUUAGUAAGUCAGUGGUGAAAGCCCAUCGCUCAACGGUGGAACGGCCAUUGAUACUGCUAGACUUGAAUUAUUAGGAAGUAACUAGAAUAUGUAGUGUAGCGGUGAAAUGCUUAGAGAUUACAUGGAAUACCAAUUGCGAAGGCAGGUUACUACUAAUUGAUUGACGCUGAUGGACGAAAGCGUGGGUAGCGAACAGGAUUAGAUACCCUGGUAGUCCACGCCGUAAACGAUGGAUACUAGCUGUUGGGCGCAAGUUCAGUGGCUAAGCGAAAGUGAUAAGUAUCCCACCUGGGGAGUACGUUCGCAAGAAUGAAACUCAAAGGAAUUGACGGGGGCCCGCACAAGCGGUGGAGCAUGUGGUUUAAUUCGAUGAUACGCGAGGAACUUACCAAGGCUUAAAUGUAGAUUGACCGGGUUUGGAAACAGACUUUUCGCAAGACAAUUUACAAGGUGCUGCAUGGUGUCGUCAGCUCGUGC